rnacentral:tRNA from 1 species
UCCCUAGUGGCUGAGAUGGUAAAGCGUCUGUCUGCAAUGCAGGAGACCUGGGUUCAUCCCUGGGUUGGGAA